rnacentral:rRNA from 1 species
AACGAACGCUGGCGGCGUGCCUAACACAUGCAAGUCGAACGUGAAAGUCCUUCGGGAUGAGUAAAGUGGCGCACGGGUGAGUAACACGUAGGUGACCUGCCUUUUAGAGGGGAAUAACCAGAAGAAAUUUUGGCUAAUGCCGCUUACGAAGCACGGUUUUAAGACUGUGCUUGAAAGAAUGCCUCUGUAUAUGCAUUCACUAAAAGAUGGGCCUGCGGAACAUUAGCUAGUUGGUGGGGUAAAGGCCUACCAAGGCAACGAUGUUUAUCCGGUCUGAGAGGAUGAUCGGACACACUGGAACUGAGACACGGUCCAGACCCCUACGGGAGGCAGCAGUGGGGAAUAUUGCGCGAUGGGGGAAACCCUGACGCAGCAACGCCGCGUGAGUGAGGAAGGACUUCGGUCUGUAAAGCUCUGUUAAUGUGGAAAAAUGGUAGUUGGUCUAAUAGGCCGAUUAUUUGAUGGUACACAUAGAGGAAGCACCGGCUAACUUCGUGCCAGCCGCCGCGGUAA